UUACCACNUUGACAUCGAAGAGAUUAAUUCGUUGACAGGUGCUGCAUGGCUGUCGUCAGCUCGUGUCGUGAGAUGUUGGGUUAAGUCCCGCAACGAGCGCAACCCCGCCUUAGUUGCCAGCAUAUGGGACUCUAGGGGACUGCCGGUGCUAACCGGAGGAAGGUGGGGAUGACGUCAAGUCCUCAUGGCCCUUACGGUGGGCUACACACGUGCUACAAUGGCUGACAAGGGAAUCCCUAAAGGGUCUCAGUUCGGAUUGUCUUCUGCAACUCGAAGACAUGAAGUUGGAAUCGCUAGUAAUCGUGAUCAGCAUGCACGGUGAAUACGUUCCCGGGCCUUGUACACACCGCCCGUCACACCAUGGGAGUUGGUCACCGAA
rnacentral:rRNA from 1 species